CGCGUUCGGCCGCCCGGCCGCCCAUUGUCACGCAGCCCGGCGUGGGCGGUGCCUCGACGGGCCACGCCCCCGCAAAAGCCCCGCCCCCGGAAGCCCUGUCUGAGGAGCCGAGCUCAGGUCCGGGACCCUUCCUCCGUCAGUUCUUCCCGCACUCUGGCCCCUCGGCCAGGACUGCGAGUCAGCCCGGGCCCCCUCCAGGUCUCUUCCGUGACCCCGCCGCGCGUGUCGCUGCACGGAUCUUCUGAGUCCCCGAGCCCAGCUAUGUGUUCAGGCUUCAGUGCUCUUGCAAAGGAAUUUUUGGAAUUUGGAGUCUGAAAGGAAUGUAUUGUAACUCUUGCUAACUGAAAUGUAAUGGCAGCCAAUCUUCAUACUCUGGGCAAAGCCUUGGGAGCAGCAGCCAAAGGCACAUCAAGAGCUAAUCUCCAGUUGGUUGGCCAGUGGUGUUUCUGGACUUUGGUACCAUUCUCUGGCAUUCCUGAUUGUGGAUGUUUGCUCUUGGCCAGGUAUUGGAUGGAUCUACCACACUUCAGGAUUCCCCUUGGUAUGUUUGUUAUUGCCCAGACAUGAGGACUUUUGUUAGGGUUAGUUAAGGUAAUGG
ensembl:lncRNA